rnacentral:rRNA from 1 species
UACGUAGGGUGCAAGCGUUGUCCGGAAUUAUUGGGCGUAAAGAGCUCGUAGGCGGUUCGUCGCGUCGGCUGUGAAAACCUGAGGCUCAACCUCAGGCCUGCAGUCGAUACGGGCGGACUUGAGUACUGCAGGGGAGACUGGAAUUCCUGGUGUAGCGGUGGAAUGCGCAGAUAUCAGGAGGAACACCGGUGGCGAAGGCGGGUCUCUGGGCAGUAACUGACGCUGGAGGAGCGAAGGCGUGGGGAGCGAACAGG